GAGUAACUGUUGACAUCGUGACGGUAUCCAACCAGAAAGCCACGGCUAACUACGUGCCAGCAGCCGCGGUAAUACGUAGGUGGCAAGCGUUGUCCGGAUUUAUUGGGCGUAAAGCGAGCGCAGGCGGUUUUUUAGGUCUGAUGUGAAAGCCUUCGGCUUAACCGGAGAAGUGCAUCGGAAACCGGGAGACUUGAGUGCAGAAGAGGACAGUGGAACUCCAUGUGUAGCGGUGAAAUGCGUAGAUAUAUGGAAGAACACCAGUGGCGAAGGCGGCUGUCUGGUCUGCAACUGACGCUGAGGCUCGAAAGCAUGGGUAGCGAACAGGAUUAGAUACCCUGGUAGUCCAUGCCGUAAACGAUGAGUGCUAAGUGUUGGAGGGUUUCCGCCCUUCAGUGCUGCAGCUAACGCAUUAAGCACUCCGCCUGGGGAGUACGACCGCAAGGUUGAAACUCAAAGGAAUUGACGGGGGCCCGCACAAGCGGUGGAGCAUGUGGUUUAAUUCGAUGCUACGCGAAGAACCUUACCAGGUCUUGACAUCUUCUGCUAACCUAAGAGAUUAGGCGUUCCCUUCGGGGACGGAAUGACAGGUGGUGCAUGGUUGUCGUCAGCUCGUGUCGUGAGAUGUUGGGUUAAGUCCCGCAACGAGCGCAACCCUUAUUGUCAGUUGCCAGCAUUUAGUUGGGCACUCUGGCGAGACUGCCGGUGACAAACCGGAGGAAGGUGGGGAUGACGUCAAAUCAUCAUGCCCCUUAUGACCUGGGCUACACACGUGCUACAAUGGGCGGUACAACGAGUCGCGAGACCGCGAGGUCAAGCCAAUCUCUUAAAACCGCUCUCAGUUCGGAUUGCAGGCUGCAACCCGCCUGCAUGAAGUCGGAAUCGCUAGUAAUCGCGGAUCAGCAUGCCGCGGUGAAUACGUUCCCGGGCCUUGUACACACCGCCCGUCACACCAUGAGAGUUUGUAACACCCAAAGCCGGUGGGGUAACCGCAAGGGACCAGCCGUCUAAGGUGGGACAGAUGAUUGGGGUGAAGUCGUAACAAGGUAGCCGUAGGAGAACCUGCGGCUGGAUCACCUCCUUUCUAA
rnacentral:rRNA from 1 species